UGUUGGGAAAUUGAUUUUGUGCCUUGGAAACAACCAAAACACCUUCACCAAAAUUGAUUUGGGAAAGAGGAAGAAACAAGCCGUUUCACAUUUUCUCCCUCUCCAAAUCACACCCACAUCAAAAACCCCUCACCACAACUUCUAUCAUUUCUCUUCACUAAUCAAACCACCAUCACCCUCCAUCUUCAACCACAACCAUGAUGUGGGAACGUGAACACGAUGAACACCGUCACCACCACCACACCACCUCUCAAAAACCCGACCAAAUCCCUUACCCUAACUCCUAUCUCAACUUCGAUUUCUUCCCACCUCUCUCCAAACACAAGAAUUCUCCGACAAAAUCUCUAUUUUCCGAUUUCUCUUUUCGAUAGCUUUGUGUGAUGACUCUCGGUUCCUCACGAAUCAUGGCUAAUUUUCCAUCCACAACUUCCAGUAAGCUUCUGUUCUUGCUCAACUCCUUGCACGAAGUCAACUUUUGGCACAUAAAUCCCAAUCUGGUCCUUCGAGGCCUUAUGGAUUCUCAAAACAACGAUGUUCUUAAAUCUCAUUUCGAGGAGCUCGAGAGUUUCCAUAUAUCUAUUAUAGAUUCAAAUCCAAGCCUUCAAAAUCGCAAGACUACCGCCGAUUCACCUACUUCUACACCAUUUCCAUCUGAUGUUGAGGAUAAAGCAAACCCGAUCUUCCAAGAGUUGCUUUCAUGAUAAGAUAUUCGUCCUUUCAGUAGUGCAAACACUAAUCCGAUUCAGUGAAUCUUCUGUGAAUAUUUGAGGAAUGAUUAUCUGUUCUCUGUUCUUAUGUUUCUGAUCUGAAAAACUAUUAUACGGUCUAUGGCUAAAUAUUAAUAUCCCAUCAAUGUUUGUCUAUUUUAACAGGGACAAUUUGAUUUCUGAAUGACGAUGAUCUUUAAUGCAGAUUACAUGAGAUAGACAAAGGGAAUGUUUUUUACGAAAAAUCAUUUUGGUUGAGCUUUACAAAGGCUGUGUUUUUAUCAUUCAAGUUUAACUAUGCAAGGUGGUUGAGCUUUGCAAAGGUUGUGUUUUUAUCAUUUAGGUUGAAUUAUGUAAAGUUUAUUUUUCUUCAUUUAUAACAAUUUUUCUUCAUUCAUAAUCGCACACUCUAGAAAAUCAUCCUAAGAAACAACCAGUUAUGUAUUCUUCAGUAGUGUUAGUGACCAUGGAC